GCCUUUUGGAAAAUUCUCUGCCCUGGAGCUAGUAUCGCCAAAGGAUCGUAAGCGUAUUUCCUCUGUGCAAAGGUUUCCCACCGAUUGCCGAAGUACUCUAAGCCAUCUGUUCCUGUUGAAGAUGGCACUGCAGAGGAAAGAAACGCGACUAGAUAGAAGAUGUCUUCAUUUGGAGUGACCAAAGAUGUGUUACUGUUCCACCUGCAAUGAAAACGAAUGCUGCCUCCGGAUGGUAUUUUACCAUAUUUGGUGCUGGUUCAAGUGAUAUUCGUGCCCGCGUGAUUAUGCCAAACUGUCCAAGCCCUCCAAGAACACCGUGGAAAAGCUCGGAGUUCUGCUUCUCUGAACAGGUCAUUGUACAGUAGGGUCCCCAAGCCGGCCCCUACUUGGAUUUCAUUGUACUGGAAGCUCAGGGCCUCAAUGUGAGAGAAACAUGGUUGCCCACCACUCUCCCUCCCAGCUCGAUAAACCUCAUUGCAUCAUCCUUAUUGGACUCUUUGCAUCUCCUUUGACACUAUCAGUUUACGUCAUAAUAUUAUAAACUUUGUGAAUUGACUGUUUGUGCUUACGUCAGUAGCAGCUUUGUUUGAGCAUCUAAAAGGUCUCGCUGAGACAUGAACCCACUUAAUAGAAACUGGCCUCAAGAUAGAGAUUUCAGGUCUCUCGGCUUGUUGGACGCUAUUCAGUACAUCCCCUCUCACUGUAAGUUAGCUAAGAAAGUGCAAGUCCCAGGUUUUAGGUUAGUGAAAACAUUGUGUUUGGAAUGUUUCCAUCGUUUGUUAUUUUGGGCAACACUAUCUCACAUAAAGAAGUGUAGGACAUGCAGCAUUGAGUGGAGAAAAGAUUGUUGGCUUCUGUCCUUAAUGGUGGUCCUCAACGACCAAUCGAGACCUUGUCAUUAUUUUGCUUCUUAACACUUCGAAUUAAGGCAAUCUAUGUUCUUUGCUAAAAAAUGGCAUAAAGGCAGAUACGAAGAUGAAAAUCCAAAACCCAUGUCAUUCUACUUUGUAAUAGAGUAAUAUAUAUUUUUGUUGCGUGUUUCAUCGUGGACUCUUUUUUUGGUUAAUAGUUCACAUUCUUUGCGUGAAUUUUGUAGUGGCCUUGUCUACCUAUUUUUGUAAAUGAAAACAACGGCCGAAAAAAAGGCGGGGAGGGGGUGAGAAUGCAGGCAGUAGUAUGACAGUUCGAACAAAGGAGACAUGGAUAUGAAAAGUUGUACAGGAGAGAAGACAUUGUGAAGAUUUUGCAUUAAAGAGAUUUGCUGGGCUUAGAGAGAAUACUGUUACGUAGAUGACGACAUGGUAAGCAACUUGUGUCUGCUCACUCAUGGACUUUGCCCUUCCAUGCCCAUGAAAACCCAAGAGAGAGAGGGCAUGUAGAUAUGUUACAAGGAUGGAAUCUUUAGGGACAUGUAGUCGUAGAGAGGUGCUGAAGAAAACCCAUAUUUGUAGAGUUUAGUUCAUUGGCCAGUUAGUUGACCUUGGGUUUCUAUUGUCCCCAAUUAUUAUC